rnacentral:lncRNA from 1 species
GCCUUUUCUGCUUUUGCGCUCCGGGGUAGGGAGGUGUUUCGCGCUUUCCGGGAUGGCGGGGGUGGUGGGCGCGGGGUAUCUCGGUUUCCGAAGGGCCCAGGCGCUGAGCAGGGACGCGCGGCCACCCUGAGGGCGAUGGGAUAUGGUUCGCCGCUGUGCCGGGCCCGAGGAUCCCGUUCCGUGAGUCCGUGGAGGGAAGCGGCCCGGCCUGGUCUCCGCCACGUUGUCCGUGGACCUCAGAAGACCCCAACGCGGCCCCCAGGCUGCGUUCCCACUCCAGGAAGUGGAAGAUGGACUUGAGUGCAUUUGAGUUUAUUGGACACGUACUGUGUGUCAGGGAAUUUUUAAUAGAAACAGAUUUCUCGUGAAAGAGAAAGGCCUCCCCCUGUAACUGCAUGUAUGCCUACCGUAUCCCAUUUGAGAUCAAGUCUACAUAGGAGUAAAGUGCCGUUUAAGGUUUAGAUCUCGAUAUUUGUUUCAAGAUAGAGAACUUGGCGAGUGAGCGACAGCAGCUUCGCAGGUGAGUUUGCAUUUAGUGCAAGGAGGAACCAGUUGCAUCCCAGCUUUUGAAGGUUUUAACCACUUAAAACACUCUACUGCAGUUCUUGUUAACCUAGUCGGGUUUGAAUUGUACAAGAAAAUCUACAGCUGGUAUUAAUCACCUUUGAGCUCAUCCACAGAACAGUACAUUAUGGGGUCAGCAACUUUGUGCCAUAGAUAGAGCAGUCCUUGGGUAGGUUUCUUGUAGCCUUUGUGUUGCCCGUUCACUUUUGGAAACUAGUGAAUGUGGUGUCAAAAAAGGCGUAAACUAAACACUUUGCAGCCUUUUCCUGCCCUUGAAUUUGGUAUCUUUGGCGUAGGAGCUGCACAAGUAACAGUUUAUGCUUUUACAUUAGUUGACAUGUGUGAUCUUGAGUCUUAAGCGUAUAGUUUCUCAAGCAGUUUUUAACUACAUUUUGUUCAGGUGAAAGACGGAUGCUUGAAGCAUAUCCUGCUGCUAGCUGAAUUCUGUCCUGGAGCACCAAGGGUGACUAAGGUAGGAUGAUGGUGUUGUAGUGCUGUCUUAAAACAGUUAUUUGUAAUGCAAACUUCUAGGUUGGGGUGCUUUAAUGGGUAUUAAAUUAGUACUGCAACGUGUAGUUAAGGUGAAGUUAACGGCAAAUAGGAAAGCCUGUUCCCAGCUUAGUUUCGGAAUUUUAAAAUACGUGUUUCUUUGUGUAGUAACUAAAUUUCCAACACUUGCCAAAUCUCAGGUUUUAUGUGGACGUUUAAAGCUGAGUCCAAAAUGCAAUUCAGAAGGAUAUACUGAGUUUUAUUAUGAAGCUUUUAAUGUUUGAUGCACGUGAAUAUAUGUCAAAUUCAGUGCUUUAUUUUGUCUUUUAGGAUGUCCUUGAUGAAUUCAAAACCAUCACAGGAAAUCUUGACAAGAGUUGCUUGGAUCAUUUAAAAUUCCCAGGAGUCUGAGGGGGUACUAAAACAACUGUUUUGGAACUGUCCAUAAAUCUACCUUUAAAAUAGUGGGGCUAUGAAUAAAUAUUUCCUUGUGCUUCUUGGAGGUUUGUGUAUUAAGUAAUUAACUGCCAGCAAAUAGCAUUCUUUUGAAAGAUCAAAGGGAAAGGGAGGGUUUCUAUCCUCCCCGCCCCUGAAACUUGAGAAUGGUUUAAUCUCAGCUAAGAUUGAUAUUCAGAGCUACCAAUUAUGGAG